UACGAAGGGGGCUAGCGUUGUUCGGAUUUACUGGGCGUAAAGCGCACGUAGGCGGAUCGAUCAGUCAGGGGUGAAAUCCCAGAGCUCAACUCUGGAACUGCCUUUGAUACUGUCGAUCUGGAGUAUGGAAGAGGUGAGUGGAAUUCCGAGUGUGGAGGUGAAAUUCGUAGAUAUUCGGAGGAACACCAGUGGCGAAGGCGGCUCACUGGUCCAUUACUGACGCUGGAGGUGCGAAAGCGUGGGGAGCAAACAGG
rnacentral:rRNA from 1 species